UCUUCGUCGUCCCCACGCUCUCUCUCUCUCUCCACCGAUUCUGUAUGUUCUCCGCCUUCUCUCGCUCUCCCUCUCCCCCUUUGUGCCUCCUCUUCUUCAAUACUCUCUGCAAGCGACCUUCUUCUCGCCGUGGAAGAUGCUCGAGGCCUACAGAGCGAGUUCAGUCGACUGGAAGCCGACGCCGGUCGUGGCCCUAGCCACCAGCGCCGACGACUCCCAGGUCGCGGCGGCUCGCGAGGACGGCUCGCUCGAGGUUUGGCUUGUCUCUCCCGGCUCCGUCGGAUGGCACCGUCAGCUCACUAUUCAUGGAGAUUCUAAUUCAAGAGUGUCAUCUCUUGUGUGGUGUCGGACCGGUUCGAGAGGCUCGUCUAGUGGACGGCUGUUUUCAUCCAGUAUUGAUGGUUCGGUCUCUGAGUGGGAUCUAUUUGACUUGAAGCAGAAGACUGUUAUAGAGUCAAUUGGAGUCGCGAUAUGGCAAAUGGCUGUGUCUCCGUAUAAUGUUAAGGAACCCAAGUCACAAAAGAUUGAAAAUGGGUAUGUAGAUGAAAGACUGGAUACUGGCAUAGAUGAUGACGAUGGUGAAGUUGAGGAUGAUUCUGAAUCUGUCGAGCUUCAUGAUCCAUCAUACUUGGAAGAUGUGUGUAUAGCCCUAGGUUGUGAUGAUGGCUGCGUGCGGUUAUAUGCAUUUUCUGAUUUGGAGGAUUUGGUAUACAAGAAAUCUCUGCCUAGGGUCAGCGGGCGAAUUUUAAGUGUCACAUGGAGUCCUACUGCAAACAUCAUAUAUUCAGGAAGUAGUGAUGGAUUCAUAAGAUGCUGGGAUGCUCUUUCAUGUCGUGAGAUCUAUAGGAUUACAGUAGGCCUUGGAGGUUUGGGCAGUGGACCAGAACUUUGUGUGUGGUCAUUGCUUGCACUGAGGUCAGGAACGCUUGUUAGUGCUGAUAGUACUGGCAGUGUUCAGUUCUGGGACAGUCAACAUGGAACGCUUUUACAGGCGUAUUCUUAUCAUAAAGGUGAUGUGAAUGCUCUCGCAGUAUCUCCUAACCAUAACAGAGUGUUUUCUGCAGGAUCUGAUGGUCAGGUUAUCCUUUAUAAAAUUUCCGAUGAGACAGUGCAUGGUGAUGACAAGAUUUCUCAUAACGAGAUGAAGAAAUGGGUCUACAUCGGCUAUGUGAGAGCUCAUACGCAUGAUGUUCGUUCCUUGACGGUUGCAGUACCAGUAAGCCGGGAAGAUUUCCUGCCAGAUGAAAAAGUUAAAAGAGUUCGGCGUAGGAAGAAGCCUGUUGAUUUUAGUUACGGUAAAUGGGCUCAUACGGGAGUUCCCAUGCUGAUCUCAGCUGGCGAUGACACAAAGCUCUUUGCCUACUCUGUUCAGGAAUUCACCAAGUUCUCUCCACAUGAUAUCUGUCCAGCCCCUCAGCGGUUGCCCUUUCAACUGGUGCGCUCGGUAUUUGACCAGACUCCUUUACUUCUUGUUCAGGCUCCUUACUGGUUAGAUAUUCUCUCUGUACGGACCAAGAGUGGUACCUUUGCGAGUAAGGCUUCUGGCCCUUCUGGGGGCUUGGCAGUUACUGAACUACUGGCUCGAGUGAAGAGCAAGGCAUCUCGAAAAAUUAUUUGCAGUGCUCUUUCUUCUUCAGGGGAGCUUUUUGCCUAUUCAGACCAGGUGAAGCCAAAUCUUUUUGAACUGAAGAGGCGUGAGGAUGGGAAAAAUUCGUGGACUGUGACUAAAAAGCAACUUCCUCAGAGAUUAUCGUUUGUUCACUCUAUGGUGUUUAGUGCCGACUCUAAUCGGUUAAUUAUGGCUGGACAUGACAGAAAGAUUUAUGUUGUGGAUGUCAGAAGUUCGGAGUUGCUACAUACCUUUACACCAUCUCGUGAGGAGCCUUCUGACGAAUUAUCUCCUGAUGAGCCACCAAUAACAAAAAUGUUUACCAGCUCUGAUGGGCAGUGGCUAGCUGCUAUUAAUUGUUUUGGAGAUGUGUAUGUUUAUAAUCUUGAAUUACAAAGGCAGCACUGGUUCAUAGCUAGACUGGACGGUGCCUCUGUUACUGCAGGUGGAUUUCCUCCUCUGAAUAGUAAUGUGCUCGUAUUCACCACAUCCUCAAAUCAGGUGUAUGUACUUGAUGUGGAGGCCAAACAAUUAGGAGACUGGUCAAUGAGAAACACAUUCUCUCUGCCCAAAAGAUUCCAGGAGUUUCCUGGAGAGGUCAUUGGGCUUUCUUUUCCCCCCUCCUCGUGUUCAUCAUCAAUCAUUAUUUAUAGUGCCAGGGCAAUGUGCAUUAUUGACUUUGGACUGCCUGUGGAUCGGGAGGAUGACACGGAGUUGAUGAAUGGUCGGGAUUCAACAUUGAGGAAGCUACAUUGUACACCUGUAAAUGGGAAACUGAAGCGUAGUUUAAAAGCUUAUGAAUUAGAUACUAAACAAAAUAGUAGAAAGAAUUUUGAAUUUUUUGCUUUCAGAGAUCCUCUUUUGUUUGUUGGGCAUCUUUCAAAGAAUUCCAUCUUGGUCAUAGACAAACCCUGGAUGGAAGUAGUUAAAAAGUUAGAAGCUGCACCCGUCCAUAGACAUAUUUUCGGGACAUGACUGCUUUUGCCAAGAUGCUUUUUGUUCAGCCUAGGAAGGAGAAUUCAGUCAACAGUUAGUCCCUUAGAGCAGCAACCUUGGACAUUUGCACCUUCUCGAGCAGAUGAGUCCCUUUCAUGUAAUCAGAUCUAUUUCUUAAUCAUGAUUAUGUUUUGAUGGAGGCAAUGGCAUGCUUGUAGUGGUAAGGGAGGGAUUUCAGGUGUUAGUUAAUAAAUCUUUUGUGAAGAAAUGCCAGAGGUAUGUGGUGAGGAAGCGCACAGUGUGUGAUGGAAUAGAUAGGCUAUCUUCUUCGUUGUCCAUCAUGCAUUUGAGAUCGAACAAAUGAACCCCUUGCUGUUGGGAAAGGAAAAUGAUAGAAUUGAACACCCAUGCAGAUUGGAGGGAGCCAGAGGUGUUUCAUUGGGCUCAUGUUUACGGCGGAUCAUCAACAGGUUAAGAGGUAUCUACACUAGCUUCUCUAUCCAACUGAAGAAUUUCUUAUCCUUUGGAAAUUGAACCCUCGUUGUAAUCAUCGAUGGCUGAUGGUAACUGUUAUGCACAUGAGCUUGCUUGAGUAUAUUCAUAUCUGAGCCACAGUACAGUGAGCUGUAUGUAAUGACUGGUCGGUUGCGUCUGGAGUCGAUAACAAUCUCCAACUGAUGACAUGCUAUUGACUGGUUCCUCCUUUGGCUACCUCAUCUAUAGUCAUUGUGUAGUUCUGGCGCCAUCGUAGCAGCCUCUGGCGCU